UUCCUACGGGACGCAGCAGUAGGGAAUUUUCGUCAAUGGGCGCAAGCCUGAACGAGCAAUGCCGCGUGAACGAGGAAGGUCUUCGGAUCGUAAAGUUCUGUUGAAGGGGAAAAAGAGCGGAGAGAGGAAAUGGUCUCCGAUUGAUAUUACCCUUCGAGGAAGUCACGGCUAACUACGUGCCAGCAGCCGCGGUAAUACGUAGGUGGCGAGCGUUAAUCGGAAUUACUGGGCGUAAAGGGUGCGCAGGCGGUUGAGUAAGACAGAUGUGAAAUCCCCGAGCUUAACUCGGGAAUGGCAUA
rnacentral:rRNA from 1 species